rnacentral:rRNA from 1 species
GAUGAACGCUAGCUACAGGCUUAACACAUGCAAGUCGAGGGGCAGCAUGACGGAAGCUUGCUUUCGUUGAUGGCGACCGGCGCACGGGUGAGUAACGCGUAUCCAACCUGCCCACCACUUGGGGAUAACCUUGCGAAAGUAAGACUAAUACCCAAUGAUAUCCCGACGAAGGCAUCCGAAUGGGAUUAAAGAUUUAUCGGUGAUGGAUGGGGAUGCGUCUGAUUAGCUUGUUGGCGGGGUAACGGCCCACCAAGGCAACGAUCAGUAGGGGUUCUGAGAGGAAGGUCCCCCCACAUUGGAACUGAGACACGGUCCAAACUCCUACGGGAGGCAGCAGUGAGGAAUACUGGUCAAUGGGCGAGAGCCUGAACCAGCCAAGUAGCGUGCA